rnacentral:rRNA from 2 species
AGAGUUUGAUCAUGGCUCAGAUUGAACGCUGGCGGCAGGCCUAACACAUGCAAGUCGAGCGGUAGCACAGAGAGCUUGCUCUCGGGUGACGAGCGGCGGACGGGUGAGUAAUGUCUGGGAAACUGCCUGAUGGAGGGGGAUAACUACUGGAAACGGUAGCUAAUACCGCAUAACGUCGCAAGACCAAAGUGGGGGACCUUCGGGCCUCAUGCCAUCAGAUGUGCCCAGAUGGGAUUAGCUAGUAGGUGGGGUAAUGGCUCACCUAGGCGACGAUCCCUAGCUGGUCUGAGAGGAUGACCAGCCACACUGGAACUGAGACACGGUCCAGACUCCUACGGGAGGCAGCAGUGGGGAAUAUUGCACAAUGGGCGCAAGCCUGAUGCAGCCAUGCCGCGUGUGUGAAGAAGGCCUUCGGGUUGUAAAGCACUUUCAGCGGGGAGGAAGGCGGUGAGGUUAAUAACCUCAUCGAUUGACGUUACCCGCAGAAGAAGCACCGGCUAACUCCGUGCCAGCAGCCGCGGUAAUACGGAGGGUGCAAGCGUUAAUCGGAAUUACUGGGCGUAAAGCGCACGCAGGCGGUCUGUCAAGUCGGAUGUGAAAUCCCCGGGCUCAACCUGGGAACUGCAUUCGAAACUGGCAGGCUAGAGUCUUGUAGAGGGGGGUAGAAUUCCAGGUGUAGCGGUGAAAUGCGUAGAGAUCUGGAGGAAUACCGGUGGCGAAGGCGGCCCCCUGGACAAAGACUGACGCUCAGGUGCGAAAGCGUGGGGAGCAAACAGGAUUAGAUACCCUGGUAGUCCACGCCGUAAACGAUGUCGAUUUGGAGGUUGUGCCCUUGAGGCGUGGCUUCCGGAGCUAACGCGUUAAAUCGACCGCCUGGGGAGUACGGCCGCAAGGUUAAAACUCAAAUGAAUUGACGGGGGCCCGCACAAGCGGUGGAGCAUGUGGUUUAAUUCGAUGCAACGCGAAGAACCUUACCUGGUCUUGACAUCCACAGAACUUUCCAGAGAUGGAUUGGUGCCUUCGGGAACUGUGAGACAGGUGCUGCAUGGCUGUCGUCAGCUCGUGUUGUGAAAUGUUGGGUUAAGUCCCGCAACGAGCGCAACCCUUAUCCUUUGUUGCCAGCGGUUAGGCCGGGAACUCAAAGGAGACUGCCAGUGAUAAACUGGAGGAAGGUGGGGAUGACGUCAAGUCAUCAUGGCCCUUACGACCAGGGCUACACACGUGCUACAAUGGCAUAUACAAAGAGAAGCGACCUCGCGAGAGCAAGCGGACCUCAUAAAGUAUGUCGUAGUCCGGAUUGGAGUCUGCAACUCGACUCCAUGAAGUCGGAAUCGCUAGUAAUCGUAGAUCAGAAUGCUACGGUGAAUACGUUCCCGGGCCUUGUACACACCGCCCGUCACACCAUGGGAGUGGGUUGCAAAAGAAGUAGGUAGCUUAACCUUCGGGAGGGCGCUUACCACUUUGUGAUUCAUGACUGGGGUGAAGUCGUAACAAGGUAACCGUAGGGGAACCUGCGGUUG